rnacentral:rRNA from 1 species
UGGGGAAUAUUGGACAAUGGGCGAAAGCCUGAUCCAGCCAUGCCGCGUGUGUGAAGAAGGUCUUCGGAUUGUAAAGCACUUUAAGUUGGGAGGAAGGGCAGUAAGCGAAUACCUUGCUGUUUUGACGUUACCGACAGAAUAAGCACCGGCUAACUCUGUGCCAUCAGCCGCGGCAAUACAGAGGGUGCAAGCGUUAAUCGGAAUUACUGGGCGUAAAGCGCGCGUAGGUGGUUCGUUAAGUUGAAUGUGAAAGCCCCGGGCUCAACCUGGGAACUGCCUCCAAAACUGGCGGGCUAGAGUAGGGCAGAGGGUGGUGGAAUUCCCUGUGUAGCGGUGAAAUGCGUAGAUAUAGGGAGGAACACCAGUGGCGAAGGCGACCACCUGGGCUCAUACUGACACUGAGGUGCGAAAGCGUGGGGAGCAAACAGG